rnacentral:lncRNA from 1 species
CCUGGAGACCACACUCAACUGAGAGAGGCAAAAAAAUACCCCCGGCCCACACUGUUCCUGUUCCCUGCCCGCACACCCACCCACACGCACACUUUCCACACCAACCAACGGCAGACUUACCGGCGACGUGGAAUCACGCUUUUCCUGGGUCCUGCCCAACACAUGUCGGCGGGCAGCUGAGCAAGACCGGAGCCUGGACGGUCAGCAAUACAGCAAAGGGGAAAGUGAGGCACCCUCCUUCGACCUCAGGGCCGAGGUGGCCAACUCACGUGCCCACAUCUUGGGGCUGAUUUUUCUCCUCCUCCCAACUUGAAACUGAAAUCCAUGAUGAAGAAAAUAAAAGUAGCACAAUUUAGAUAAAUUGUCCAUUUGAGCACAUAGACCAUUUACCACGCAUUAUCUAGUUCUGGGUGAAAGAGCCAGAAAGGGGAGAAGGGUAAAUGGUGACACCCUCUGAGGGGUGUAGAAAAGAGGGGUUGUUUGGAGAGGAAACAGGGCAUGUAAUAAGCAUUUUCUUAUCCCUGGAAGUAGUGACGUGAUGAGCGUGAGACAGUAACUGGACCCCCACCAUGCUAUUGAUAGUACUUUUCACAUCAUCAAUGUUGAAAAGCAAAAACAACACACACUCAAACUCACAAAAAAAAAAAAAAAAAAAAAAGACUCCAAACCCACCGCCAGUGAUGGGAAGGAAAGACCUUUCAGAGAACGCCCAUACAGACCAUGAUCGUGGAAAUGGGAAGGGAAGGCUUCUCUGGUGGGGAGAGGGUCCAGAAAGUCUUAAAUAACUUUUUUUUAAGAAAAAUAAAAUAUAACCCCACCACAAAACAGACAAGAACAGCAGAGAAAUUUGUGUCCACCGUCUUCAAGACUUAGGAAAUGAGCAUCAUCAAAGAACAAACAAAAAAGUCCACAGCUCAAGUGUCAACAAGAGGUUCUGCAGCUGAGGAUGGCAGUAGAUGGGGGCUGGCUGGCAGGUGUAACCCACAGAAGUGUUACUGUGCAGCUUUAACAUCAACACCACGACAGCAGCGCCAGAGGUGGCAGACAGAUAACAAAGACAUUAAUUACAUCAGCCAUGCCAGGCUUGAGCGGUGGGAAUUUCUGUUCUUAAGAUAUGGGAUCAGAAAAGAAGAUCCAGUUCUGCUCAUUAGACAUCAGAUGAGAAAGUAGGUGCAUAUUUUGUUUUGUGUUUGCAUUGUCAUGUUCAGUGGAUGCUUUUUCAGAUAUGUUAAUUUUAUAUCAAAGGAAUUCCAUGCGCAGAGUUAAAAAUAUCAAAAAGUUUUAUAAAGGAAACCAGAGGUUCUCUUUCCCCAUGCUUCCUGUUCUCCCCCUUGGGUACCUUCCCAAAGGCUAGGAUUUUUUUUUUUUUUUGUCUUUUUAGGACCACACCUGCAGCAUAUGAAAGUUCCCAGCCUAGGAGUUCAAAUCAGAGCUGUUGUUGCUGGCCUACACCACAGCCACAGCAUUGCCAUAUCCUUAACCCACUGAUCGAGGCCAGGGAUCGAACCUGUGUGCUCAAGGAUACAAGUUGGGUUUGUUACCACUGAGCCACAAUGGGAACUCCCAAGGCCAGGAUUUUUAAAGGUUAGCUCUGUAUUUCGAAACAUGCACAGAUUGUGAUUUCUUGACUAAUUUCCCUCAGACAUUAUUUAUUAAUUUCUUUCUUGCAGAAGAUAAGCACUUAGCUCUCUUCUGUGGGGAUGAGUUAUUUUCUUAAUCCUGCACCAAAAUGAGCAUUCUCUGAUUCUCAGAGCCUGUAGUGCUUCUCAGAAUCCCAUACAGGCUGUUCUCACCCUGCCGCUUGUCCAGGCUAGAGAGCGAGUGAGCUUUGAUGGGGGCGAUGUUGCUGGUCUCAAAUACACAGGCAGCCUCCCCACAGGCACUGGCUGUUGCUAUUUCCCAGUUGGAAUUGCUCAGGAGGUCUAGGCCUCCUGGAAAGUAGGCCAGCAUUGCAAAUAUUUACCAAAAAAAAAAAAAAAAACCUUUGGGGAAUGGAAAACUGUUUGGGUGGAAGUCCAAGGAUGGCUCUGAGGACCCUGCUGGAGUUGGGGUCUGAGCAGGUGGGUGAGCGGAGCAGAGAGGGGAAGUCAUGUGUGUACAGAGAUGGAUGACAAGCGGUCACUCUCAGGAAUAAGACCUUAAGAUAUGCAAACAAACCCGGUGGAAGUCAAGCUGCUGGGAGAAAUGCUGGUUAGCAGGUUGGCGAAAACUCACGUUGAUCCCUCAUGUCAGAUUUAACACCGAAAAAGACAGGGGGAAAAAACCCUUCUAGGCAGAGUAAAAGCCUUAACAUUUUUAGUAAAAAUAAACACCAGAAGACAAUAAAAUUGAACA